UACGUAGGGGGCAAGCGUUGUCCGGAUUUAUUGGGCGUAAAGAGCGUGUAGGCGGCCAGGUAGGUCAGCUGUGAAAACUCGAGGCUCAACCUCGAGACGUCGGUUGAAACCAUCUGGCUAGAGUCCGGAAGAGGAGAGUGGAAUUCCUGGAUGUAGCGGUGAAAUGCGCAGAUAUCAGGAAGAACACCCGUGGCGAAGGCGGCUCUCUGGGACGGUACUGACGCUGAGACGCGAAAGCGUGGGGAGCGAACAGG
rnacentral:rRNA from 1 species